GAUGAAAAUCUCCAUUCCUAUAGGCCAAAAAUCAUGCCCUAAUGGAUUUCAAGGAGGCUGCCCUAGGCCUUAUUAGGAAUUAGGAUUAUUUUUUUGAAGCCAUUUGAACUUUGGAGGCUAGAAUCAAUAAUUUUAGGUUUUUAGCUAUGGUUUUGGUACAAAUUUUUUAUGAUUUGGAGUUUAUAUGAAAGAGGUAUGGGUGCUCAAAGUUAAGGGGAUGAUUUUGUAUCUACUAUCACUCUUUUGAACAUAACGCACACGUACAGAAAGUAAUGAAGGAUCGGCAAUUAGAGUUGAAGAGAGCAUUUGUUUGGCUAUACUUUUUAUAUAUUGCUUGAUGAAUUUUAAGUUAGAAUAUAGGAGAUAUUAGAAGUUGAAGUCAGGACUUCAAGUCUAAGGAUAGUAA
rnacentral:lncRNA from 1 species